GAUGAACGCUGGCGGCGUGCCUAAUACAUGCAAGUCGAGCGAACAGACGAGGAGCUUGCUCCUCUGACGUUAGCGGCGGACGGGUGAGUAACACGUGGAUAACCUACCUAUAAGACUGGGAUAACUUCGGGAAACCGGAGCUAAUACCGGAUAAUAUAUUGAACCGCAUGGUUCAAUAGUGAAAGUCGGUUUUGCUGUCACUUAUAGAUGGAUCCGCGCCGCAUUAGCUAGUUGGUAAGGUAACGGCUUGCCAAGGCAACGAUGCGUAGCCGACCUGAGAGGGUGAUCGGCCACACCGGAACUGAGACACGGUCCAGACUCCUACGGGAGGCAGCAGUAGGGAAUCUUCCGCAAUGGGCGAAAGCUUGACGGAGCAACGCCGCGUGAGUGAUGAAGGUCUUCGGAUCGUAAAACUCUGUUAUUAGGGAAGAACAAAUGUGUAAGUAACUAUGCACGUCUUGACGGUACCUAACCAGAAAGCCACGGCUAACUACGUG
rnacentral:rRNA from 1 species